UGUUACCAGUGCGGAGACUUAGAUAAAACUAGAGAUGAUUGAAUGUACUUUCCUGUAUUCAACAAAGAACAUUGAUGCUUUGGGUAUAGACAAGAAAAAUAAACAUUAUUAUUGUUUCAAACGAAGUUCCUAAUACAGUGUUUGUCAGAGAGUAGCUGGCCAAUAAAUAACGCUUAUUAUUACAUUUAUGUGUUGCAGGAAAUAUGUUUCCAUAUCAUAUGAAGUAUAUUAUUAAAGAAUCACUGUGUCCAUCCAUUCACAAGACACCUGUGGAGUACCGACGACAUGCAUAUAAUGUGUUGUCUUGGACCUAGGGGAUGGGGUGUGUGCAGAAAAGAAAGAAUCUUAUAGGAUGGGAAAGGGAUGAGACCAGACAGAUAACACCAAGUGCCAUGUGCCAGGGCAAGUCUCCCAGAUUGCCUGGGGAGGGUGCAGGACAGGAGUAUGUAUCGGAGUUGGGAGGCGAGCGCUGCAUGCACAAGGAACAUCUCAGCAGCCCCUGAGGGCAGGGAGCGGGGAGGGAUUUCCAAGGAGGAGAUGCAAGGGUAGAGGAGCCUCCAGAGGGGAGAAGGAGCCACAUAUACUUAGGAAUGAGAAGGGUGGCAGCAAGCAAAACCCUCUGACCUGGGGGCACAGAGGGCAGUGGGCGCAGACCACAGAAUUCUGGCCUUGAGUUCCGGGCUGAUGCAUUUUGACGUCAUUCAACGGAAGAUGGGCAUUGGUGUGCUGCCUCUUGAGCAGGGAGUGAUCUAAUCAAAGCUUUAUGUUUUCAGUUAGGACAGCUGUCAUUGCAAGUAGCAGAAACUGAACCACAGUAGCUCAACCAAAUAGGGUUUUUCUUUCUUUUUUUUACAAAAUAUUUAUUUAUUUAUUUUUGGCUGCACUGGGUUUCCAUUGCUGUGCGCGGGCUUUCUCUAGUUGCGGUGAGUGGGGGCUACACUUCGUUGCGGCGCGCAGGCUUCUCAUUGCAGUGGCUUCUCUUGUUGCGGAGCACGGGCUCUAGGUGAGAGACUUCAGUAGUUGCAGCACUUGGGCUCAAUAGUUGUGGCUUGCGGGCUCUAGAGCGCAGGCUUAGUAGUUGUGGUGCAAGGACUUAGUGGUUCCGCGGCAUGUGGGAUCUUCCUGGACCAGGGCUCGAACCUAUGUCCCCUGCAUUGGCUGGUGGAUUCUUAACCACUGCGCCACCAGGGAAUUCCCCAAGCAUGGUUUUUCUUAUUUGCUUUGUUUUGGGUUUUUUUUCACAGAACAUGGAAUCUGGAGGUAUAAGGUCCAAAAUCUGGCUGUAGGCUCUACUAUGCUAUGAAUGAGGUAGGUGCCUUUUUUGUUUCUGCUCUACCAUCCCUGGAGUGUGGCGUUCAUCCUGAGGUUGCCUCAUGGUUACAAAAUGUCUGCUGCCCCUCCAGCCUAUGUCCGUAGUCUAUGCAGGCAGACAGGAGGAAGAGGGGCAGGGAAAGGAAGAACGAAGAAUGGGGAAGAGGAUGUGGCAGAGGGGAAAGGCUCAGACCCUUCCUGAGAAUCCACAGGAGGCCCCGUGGGAGGGAGGGCAGGAUGGAGAGGACCAGAUGGGUCUGGGGACUCCUUGGUAGCCGCAGACCCUAGAGGGAGUUCAGGUCCAGGCCCAAGUUGCAUCCUCGUGGUUCAGGGCAGAUCUAGAUGCAGACGGGAACCUGGUGGAGCCCUGGCCUGCUGCCCCAUCUGAAUCAUGCUCCCAGUGGGUUGCCCUGAGCAGUCCUCAUUCAUUCAUAUUCAUCUAUUUGCUCAUUCACUCAAUGAGCCUUUCACUUAGCAAACAUCCCCCAUCCCCACAGAUGCCCUCUUUCUCAUGACUUUGUUCAUUCAUCUUGCAGCUAUUAGUGAGCACCUACUACGUGCCAGGCAGUAUGAUAGGUGCUAGGCUCCAGGUGGACAAGACAGACAAAAUCCCUGCCCUCUCAGCAAUGAACAGACUCACUGAAAGAAAAGAAAAAAUUCUACUGUCUUAUACUAUACAGAUAAACUCCUUAUGCUUCUAGUUCUUAUGCAACAAUAUAACUUGAAUGAAUUUUCAAACGUAAUAGAAAUCAAAUGCUACAACUAAUAACAACAUAAAUGUUUUUUCUGCAUCCAGAUUCUGACUUGCGGACCAUGCUGGCCACGAUGCAGGGUUGGAAGGGAGGACGGACAAGGUAGGAGUGUCCACACUCCAUUGUGUCACCGGCAUCCCCGAGGUUCCUAGGACAGUGAUCCAGACGGUCACCCCUCAGUUCGAUGCCUGCCCUUCACCUGGGCUGCCGGGGCCAAGGCGACCGCCUGCUGGCAGCGACGGGUCCAGCUCCUCCAGCCCGGACUUUCGUCUCGCCGCGUGUGAGGCAUGUGGGCUGGGAUGUGCACAGUGCCCAGCGUCAGCCUGGAAGGGCCUGGAAUUGGGGUGGCAGGGGAGCGGCAGAGGGCGACCCUGCAUGGCCAACCUUUGGGAGCAGAAAGCAGGGCGUUUUGUCUAAUCCUCCCCAUGGCCCCGAGGGGGUGCUCUUAUUAUUCUGCCUUUGCAGGCGAGGAAGGGGGAGGUCGAAAAGGUUAAGUGACUUGGCCAAGGUCACACAGCUAGUAUGUGUCAAAA